UUUCCGGUUGAUCCCGCCGGACCUGACUGCUAUCGGAUUGAUACUAAGCCAUGCGAGUCUUUGCAGUAAUGCAAGGCAUACGGCUCAGUAACACGUAGUCAACUUACCCUAUGGACGAGGAUAAUCUCGGGAAACUGAGCAUAAUACUCGAUAGAUCAUAAUGCCUGGAAUGGUUUAUGGUUGAAACGAUUCGUCGCCAUAGGAUGGGACUGCGGCCUAUCAGCUUGUUGGUGAGGUAAUGGCCCACCAAGGCGAUUACAGGUACGGGCUCUGAGAGGAGAAGCCCGGAGAUGGGUACUGAGACAAGGACCCAGGCCCUAUGGGGCGCAGCAGGCGAGAAAACUUUGCAAUGUGCGAAAGCACGACAAGGUUAAUCCGAGUGAUUUCUGCUAAAGAAAUCUUUUGCAAGUCAUAAAACCACUAGUGAAUAAGGGGUGGGCAAGUUCUGGUGUCAGCCGCCGCGGUAAAACCAGCACCUCAAGUGGUCAGGAGGAUUAUUGGGCCUAAAGCAUCCGUAGCCGGCUCUGUAAGUUUUCGGUUAAAUCCAUGUGCUCAACGCAUGGGCUGCCGAAAAUACUGCAUAGCUAGGGAGUGGGAGAGGUAGACGGUACUCGGUAGGAAGGGGUAAAAUCCUUUGAUCUAUCGAUGACCACCUGUGGCGAAGGCGGUCUACCAGAACACGUUCGACGGUGAGGGAUGAAAGCUGGGGGAGCAAACCGGAUUAGAUACCCGGGUAGUCCCAGCUGUAAACGAUGCAGACUCGAUGAUGCAUUGGCAUAUAGCCAGUGCAGUGUCGCAGGGAAGCCGUUAAGUCUGCCGCCUGGGAAGUACGUACGCAAGUAUGAAACUUAAAGGAAUUGGCGGGGGAGCACCACAAGGGGUGAAGCCUGCGGUUCAAUUGGAGUCAACGCCGGGAAGGGC
rnacentral:rRNA from 1 species